GUGGGGAAUCUUGCGCAAUGGGCGAAAGCCUGACGCAGCCAUGCCGCGUGAAUGAUGAAGGUCUUAGGAUUGUAAAAUUCUUUCACCGGGGACGAUAAUGACGGUACCCGGAGAAGAAGCCCCGGCUAACUUCGUGCCAGCAGCCGCGGUAAUACGAAGGGGGCUAGCGUUGCUCGGAAUUACUGGGCGUAAAGGGCGCGUAGGCGGACAGUUUAGUCAGAGGUGAAAGCCCAGGGCUCAACCUUGGAAUUGCCUUUGAUACUGGCUGUCUGGAGUACGGGAGAGGUGAGUGGAACUCCGAGUGUAGAGGUGAAAUUCGUAGAUAUUCGGAAGAACACCAGUGGCGAAGGCGACUCACUGGCCCGUUACUGACGCUGAGGCGCGAAAGCGUGGGGAGCAAACAGGAUUAGAAACCCGGGUAGUCC
rnacentral:rRNA from 1 species